UUCUUUAUUAUGAUUUAUUUACCUAAAUGGAUUUUCUUUGGUUUUUGUUUUGAUUUGGGUUUGGAUUUGUUUAGUUAUCUACAAUUGGUGGUUGUUUUGUUUGAUUUCUAAAAUUGGCCGAUCUGAUUUUCCUUCGGUAAUUUUUUCAUGGCUUCUAUGUCACACGGUGAAAGAAAGGGAAAGAGGAGAAGUCAGAAGUGGCAGUCUGGCAAUUCAUCAACUCCUCUCUCUCCCUCAGUCCCUCUCAAGUCUCAAGUCUCAAUCGUUCUCUCUCACUCUCAUAGACAGUAGACGCUUCGGAGAUCUGAUAAGUGAUAUUAGGGCAGAAAAUAGGUCGUUAGAUUUACAGCUUGGAUUGGGAGCUUGGAUUUUUACCGGAAACACUGAGGAAUACCCAAGUUGCGACCUGGAAACUGAGGAACGACUAGGAGCACAUCCCUCCUCUGCAGCCUUCUGGGAACCAUCAUCCUUAAAAGAAGUGGAGGCUUCACCUCAGGCGGGGAAAGAGUAACACAACUAGGCCCAAAAAAGCCCCGUCGAAUCAACCCAUAGGCCUGAGAAGGGUUCCGAACAGGCAAGGCAACAUCAACCUUCGGAGCCGGAGCCUCCCCAGCAGAGCCCAGAGAGACAGAGUCGAUCGCCAGAGAGGCCGAAGCCUCCACCGGAGAGAUAGAGGCGACGACCUCCGUCGAGGAAGCAAAAACCCCCACCGAAGUAACAAGAGAACUUACCGAAAGCACCCCCAGCCAGACCACGGAACCACGUUCCCCAACGCAGGGGCAACAACAUCACCGAACACCACAAAGGUCCUAUCGGAGACCCCAGUGGAGGAGACUCUGGAACUACAACAGGCGAGAUCUUCGAAGACACCGGCGCAGCCUCCAACUCAACCUCGGACACCAGCGGACCCACGCUCCCUCUCGUAGGGCCAAAAACUUCACUGGGCACCACUGAAAAACCACCGGAGACCCCCUCCAGGGCCAAAACCGAAUCAGACUCCAAAAAAGAACACUUUGAGGAGAAGCCCAAGCCCGGAUCCGAACCCUAAUCGAAAUCCAGAUAGAAAUCCAGAUCCAUAUCAAGAUCCGAAACUGGAUCCGAAAUAGGAUCCAUACCCGAAUCAAACUCGAAUCCAUACCCGGAUCAGGAAAAUAACCCAACCCAGCCUCGCAGACAUACCUGAAAUCACGUCCAAAAGGCUUAGAGUCUAAUCCAGCAAGGACCCGGAGACCACUGCAGAUGGGUCUGCGAAUUUGAUGAUCUGGCAGUGUAUUAUUCCUGGCAAGCCUGGGGUGAGUCCCUUUAUUUAUUUUUUUCUUGAUGCUAUUGUGCAAGUUGGGAAUUUUACAAGUUUAACGAAUACCAUUAAUGCAAAUUGUAGAGAAAGGAUUGUGAAAUUUCUUUAUUUUCUGGGUGAGAAUGUCUGAAAGUUUUGCGC